ensembl:lncRNA
CAUCAUAAAGCUGGCAAGAAGAGAUGGAGAAAAAUAAGCAGAGUUUUUUUUUCAUAUUUUAUGGAACUGGCCAUUCCUUGCUGUAUUCAUCCCUAAUUUUUUAAAAUACAACCUCAUGAUUUAUUUCUUAUUAUGUGCUGAAACAGACUUACUUCAGAAACUCCAAUAAUCCUAUGGAGCAGCAAACUGCAAAGAAAUAUCUUGACAGAGUAAUAUUUUUAAUCUCCAAAAAUAUUAUAUUGCCUAUGGGCACUGGGUUAAACAACCCCUACGGGGCCUGCCUAACCAAUUCUGUGUAACCAAUCCUUAUAUCUCCAAUGUGAAUACAUCUUUCUCACAGAUGGAUAACAGGUGCUCAGCUGUUGGAAAGGACAAGGAUUCAUGGGCCUGGAAGGUUCAGUGCUUUUGCAAUAUGUUCCCACUGAACUUGAUCAUCUGUGGCCCAGGCAGACACACUGGACCGGAUCUCUAUGCCAUAUACAGAAGCUAAGGGAAGAUAGCUUCACGCUGGAAGUACAACCUUUACAGAAGCUUACAGAUUUUUUACAUGUUCUUUGGAGACUGACUUGUGCUUGCUCCUCCUAGUCUCAAAGUAUGCUUGAUGAUUGUGCAAGGGGAAUGCCAAAGUGAAAUGAAGCUGCUAUACUUCGUUAUCCAGCAUUUAAAAGGAGAAAGAAAGGAAUCCUUUAGGAACAAGUCAAGGGUACUCACAUAACUGAGUAUUAUUAACAUAGGGCUUGUUUUGAGUGAGAUUACAUUUUAUUUAAUAUUAAUGCUAUUACCGCUAAUAAUAAUAAAUGUUAGGAGAUAUUAUUUGUGGAGACAGUCAAUGACAGUGGAUAGAUAAGCUGAGAAACUCAGUUAUUUUUUAAAGCAGAUAAACAACAGUUGCGCAACACAGUAUAAAAAAAAACAAAUGUAUUUAUUCCGUUGAUUUGGCUACAAUAACUUGAACUACUCCUUGCUAGUUAUGAAGAUUAGUUAAUGUACUUAUUUGUAUUACAUGUUCAAACAAAAAAUGUGUGUAAAAAUAUUUUAAAGAUUCUAACAUUAAAGAUUCUAACAUUUAAUCUUGAUUAGGCUGCUUCAUAUUAAGAACAGUCACAUAAUCAUAUUUAAUAGAUUUCAUGUCAAAGAUAUUCUAUGCAAUGUCAUUGUAUGAUCUAUUAAAUAUCUACUGCAGGGUAUUUUUUUUCCUUUUUUGGGAAGAAAGUUAUUGUACUUUAAUAAAACUGUCCAGAAGUGAGAGCAGAUCAAAUCUGGCAUAGCGUGUCAUGUAGGUUUACAACAGGCAAAUUGUCUGUUCAGUGUAAUGGCUGCAGAUCCAGGGCAAAUUCUGAGUAUUUUCAGGUGUAUAAAACAUUUCAUGUGAAAGACUUUUUUUCUUAACAUUUCUCUGUCUUUAAUUUAAGUCUUGAUUUGCAGACCAAAAACUUUCUACAUUUUUGUGUGUAUGUACACAAAUUCACAUGCGAUUGUAUUUCCUCAAAAAGUUUUCUCCCAAGUAAGUCUAUAUGACAGCAAGCAGAACGCUGACAGAUAAUGACAGAGAAUACAGUACAUUGGCUUUUCUGUCAGUAUAGUGAAGAAUUAUGCUACAGAACAACCACAGCAAUAUAACUAAUUCAUUUGUGAUGUGAAAUGGUAUAGGUUUGCACGGGAAAUAAUAAUUCAGUAAAGGUGGAUAACCUGUGCAUAAAUACAAGAGGUAUACAUGGAAGGAAGCAAAAACAAUUAUGAAAUUCACCACAUAAAAGAUAAAAGUAAUUUUAAACUGAGAAAUCCAGUGCUUUCAUAGAACUCUGAAGACAGGAGUAAAGGUUGUUCUUAGAUAAACAGACUGAAAUAUAGUCAACUCUUCCUAUCUGGAGUGUAUCUUCAAUGUCUCUGUUGCCAGAGCCCUUAAAAAGGACAGGAAUAGUCUACAGAAGUAAUGAUACAUCCAAAUUUUAAAUAGGGAUGGGAAAAUUUGUUACCAGAACAAUAACUAUUUUUGUUUAUGAUUCUACUGUUUGUCUCAAUACUGUUUGUAAUUUAUCACUUUGUACAGAUUCUACAGCUCAGUGUAGAUCUAGGAGCAACUGAAAGAUUAAGGAGGCUUGUUGAUAGGGCCAGUGUCUCCAGAGUCUUGUAUUUCUAAGCCAUUUUAUCACUAAAGCACUUCCAUAGUGAGUUGUAUGAAUAUCAAUUAUAAUUAAAUAUUCUCUCUGUAGUCUUGUUAAACCUAUUGCCUUUUUAAUACAUCAUGAUCACAACUGGAAAGUGUACAGUAUUAAUCAGAGAAAUCUUGUCUAGAUUACGGAAUUGUGGCCACUUUGCAUUCCUUGGCAUCAAUUACUUUCUAUUUCAAUGUAACAGAAAACAGUAAUAAAGAAAAAAUGGUC